UACUCAAUAUCAAGGAGUAGGCGUGUUUA
rnacentral:piRNA from 1 species